GAUAACUCUGGCAACUUGUUAUGAAAAUUCUGAACUUUAAAUUUGAAACUUGUGAACUAUACUGGAGCUGCAAUAUGACAAUUAGUUGCAAACUUUUAAGCUUGAAAAUUUGGCCUCUACAAGUAAAUGCAUUUUGCCAUCAUAAAGGGUGCAUGUUAUGGUCAGAAGUGGGUAGAUUAGAUAUGUUAUUAGCAGUUAUUUUUAUGUAUUAGUUUGCAAAUAAUGUAGAAAAUGCAGAGAAUAGUGGCAGGUUGAGGAGAGUACGUAGAAAGCCAAGAUAUUCUAGUUCUCUUCCUGUAUAGCAGACCUUAGGAUAUGUGCUUUUGAUGCUAAAGAAGAA
rnacentral:misc_RNA from 1 species